AGAGCAUGUAUUCAAAUUAAAUUGCCCUGUGGAAUUCAGGGCUGUAAUUGAAACACAAUGGACUUUGUAAAUGUGUUGCUGAGAGAGGAUGACGGUCAGUCAGGCUCAAGACUACUACUGACAGUUCCAGGCCUUCGACAGCAGGGGGAGACAACAUUCAGUAUGUAAACUUGGACAUGAACUAGUGUUGUCAGCAGCUGGGAUCAGUUUCGAGGUCAGGAGCUUCAUCCAGCGGGAGACAGGGGGAAUCAUCCUCUCGAAGCCCUCCUGACCUCUCCAGGGAGGCCCAAGUCAAUGAACUAACUACCUAGUGAAUCUGACUUAGUGUUAUUUUGUCUUCUAUCUCUCCUUGAAGUUGUGGGUGGUUACCCUGUCAGUCUCACAGCCUGGAGAAACAAACUGUCAACCUCUGUUAAAUUCUGUUAAGACUGAAAGUUUUCAGUGAGAUCACACACAAGACUACAGAAUAUAACUAACAUACUAGAAAUACUUACACAGUACACAGUACUGUGUUCCUGUGUAGCUCAGUUGGUAUAGCAUGGCACGGAAAAUGG
ensembl:lncRNA